UCUUUCUUUGCUGGCGACCGGCGCACGGGUGAGUAACACGUAUCCAACCUGCCCUUUACUCGGGGAUAGCCUUUCGAAAGAAAGAUUAAUACCCGAUAGUAUAAUGAUUCCGCAUGGUUUCAUUAUUAAAGGAUUCCGGUAAAGGAUGGGGAUGCGUUCCAUUAGGUUGUUGGUGAGGUAACGGCUCACCAAGCCUUCAUGGAUAGGGGUUCUGAGAGGAAGGUCCCCCACAUUGGAACUGAGACACGGUCCAA
rnacentral:rRNA from 1 species